rfam:Cyanidioschyzon merolae strain 10D DNA, chromosome 4, complete genome.
GCGCAAGUAGUUUAACGGUCAGAACAUCACGUUGUGGCCGUGAAGAUCGAGGUUCGAUUCCUCGCUUGCGCA